rnacentral:pre_miRNA from 1 species
AUUUUCCAGUAGUACAGGAAAAACCACUUUCGGGAUCAUUAAACUCAUUUAUAUGAUCCCGAAAGUGGUUUUUCCUGUACUACUGGAAA